UAAUUAUUGUAAAUCUAUUUUGAACUAAUAUAUAGAUGUCUCAAUUUAUAACAAUGAAAUAACCAGACUACUUAAAGAUUAAACUCAAUACUAUAACAGCUACACAUUUCAAAUUUAGGUAUGCUGGAAAUAAUAAAGUCACAAAUUUGCCUUUAUAAAUUAGCAGAAGCAAUAAAACAAAAAUAGAACAAUUAUAGAAGAUAUGUUAUUUCACAUAACAAAGAAGUAAAUUAAUAAACAACUAUCAUACUACAACAAUAAUAAAAACUCAAUUUUAGAAGUCUUAAAAAGAAACCCAAAAUACUAACUAAUUGUAGACAGUAAAAGGAUCACCAAGAUAUGAGAAGAAGUUGUCAAUUACAUUGAAGGAUCAUUCAUUGAAAGUAGGCAUUUAAUUUAAUUAUAUAGGCAUAAAAAUGAAAGAAAAUAAAUGCCUCAAAUAAGUAGUGGAGGGAUGUAACGGUAAGGGUAAAAAUGAAGGAAAAUGAAUGUCUCAAAUAUAUAGUGGAGGAUUGUUAAUUUUAAUUAAAAAAUCAGUAAAUUUAUUUAUUAUAGGUAGUGGAGGGAUGUAACGAUAAGGGUAAAAAUAAAGAGAAAUAAAUGCCCUAAAUAGGUAAUGAAGGAUUGUUAUUUAUUUAUUAGAGGUGACAAUUAGCAAUAGUGGGGAAAGAAGGGAAUGGGAGCAGAAGGGUGAGGGAGGGGGUGCCACGUGGCAAAAGUAUUGAGGAUUCAUAUUAUGUAAUAGAUGUUUUAUUUCUUCUAGCAGUUCUAUACUACUGGUUGUAGUGUUGUAUGAUUACAGGUACAGUACAGCGACACUUCGUAUAUAGAAAAAAUUUCUAUGUAUACGGCGGGACUGUUAGCAUGCCCGGAGAAAUGAGGAAUCCGGGGUGUGA
rnacentral:lncRNA from 1 species